rnacentral:rRNA from 1 species
UGGGGAAUAUUGCACAAUGGGCGCAAGCCUGAUGCAGCGACGCCGCGUGAGGGAUGACGGCCUUCGGGUUGUAAACCCCUUUCAGCUCCGACGAAGCGCAAGUGACGGUAGGAGCAGAAGAAGCACCGGCCAACUACGUGCCAGCAGCCGCGGUAAUACGUAGGGUGCAAGCGUUGUCCGGAAUUACUGGGCGUAAAGAGCUCGUAGGCGGUUUGUCGCGUCGUCUGUGAAAUUCUGCAGCUUAACUGCAGGCGUGCAGGCGAUACGGGCAGACUUGAGUACUACAGGGGAGACUGGAAUUCCUGGUGUAGCGGUGAAAUGCGCAGAUAUCAGGAGGAACACCGGUGGCGAAGGCGGGUCUCUGGGUAGUAACUGACGCUGAGGAGCGAAAGCGUGGGUAGCGAACAGG